GUGCUUGCUUUGGCAGCACGUAUAUUAAAACUGAGUGAUAUAGAGAAGAUCAGCAUGGCACCUGAGCAAGGAUGACAGGCAAAUUUGUGAAGCGUUCCAUAUUUUU
ensembl:snRNA U6 U6 spliceosomal RNA